UGUCGUGUUUGGAUUUUGGACCUUUGCCUGUUUCCGGAUUUCACUUUGGAUUACUUUGUUUCCGGACUUUGUUUCUUCAGCCUCUCAACCCGAGAUCUCACACCUGCAGAAGAAGAUACAGUUUCCACAAGUUUUCCCUCUGCUGCCACCCAAAGAAUCAGCUGUGCCCUGACCCCCUGCCAAUCCAGUACUCCGGCCCAUCGUAACAAUCCCAGCACAGAAGGACUCCGCCGGAUUACCAAGAAGUAAUUUCAAAUGUAGCAACUGAUGUGGCAGAUCAGAAAAUCUCAACUAGUGCAGUUUGUAUUAUGCAGGGGGAGAAGCUAACAGGCACUAGCAUUCACUGGAAGUAAGGCAGUUCAUGCUUCAUAAUAUUUCAAAAAUCUUUAGCUAAAGGCUACAUUUAGCUGAUAACUUAUGAAAUCAUUGUGGGUUUUACUUAAUUCACUGUGAUAAUUGUAUUGAAUUUAGAGUUCUGAACUGGCCUAAAAUCAAGACUGAAGGCGGCCUGUACCCACACCUUUCAGCCCCUGCUUGAGGCAGAGACUAUAUUUUGGUUGCUUUGGAAAGGCAAUAGACCAACACCGAAUAUGUCACGGCUGCCCACCUGUAUAAAACAUAUAUUGUACAAGCUAAUAAGCCAUAUAUUUAAAGGCACAUUGAGGUCAACGAACAGCAACACUAUAGCAUCUCAAAAUCUGACUUACCAGUUAGUGAAUAAACUUCACCUUUUUCCAGUAUCAACUAGAUGAAUGUGGCUGUUAAAUUCUAUGUUUUUCCCAGCUCAACUUAACAGUCUAAACUGUUUUAAUCAAGAACAGAACGUACAGGAAAUGCCAUUCUUUUUACUAUCUUAUGUUUGAAUAGCAUUGCAAUCUCUUCACUUUACGUAGCUAAUGAGUUUUUAAACUGUUGUCGCAGCAAAAUCAUAAUGUUUCCACAAUGGAAGGCUCUUCCCUGAAUCAUUUGGGAUUUUAAGAAGCUCCACUUUAGCAAGGUGUUGCACUCUUUUUCUUCCCACUUUCCAGUGGGCAUUGAAACACAUGACACACA